UGCAGUCGACGCUUCUUUUCCCACCGGAGCUUGCUCCACCGGGAAAAGAGGAGUGGCGAACGGGUGAGUAACACGUGGGUAACCUGCCCAUCAGAAGGGGAUAACACUUGGAAACAGGUGCUAAUACCGUAUAACAAUCGAAACCGCAUGGUUUCGUUUUGAAAGGCGCUUUACGGUGCCGCUGAUGGAUGGACCCGCGGUGCAUUAGCUAGUUGGUGAGGUAACGGCUCACCAAGGCCACGAUGCAUAGCCGACCUGAGAGGGUGAUCGGCCACAUUGGGACUGAGACACGGCCCAAACUCCUACGGGAGGCAGCAGUAGGGAAUCUUCGGCAAUGGACGAAAGUCUGACCGAGCAACGCCGCGUGAGUGAAGAAGGUUUUCGGAUCGUAAAACUCUGUUGUUAGAGAAGAACAAGGGUGAGAGUAACUGUUCACCCCUUGACGGUAUCUAACCAGAAAGCCACGGCUAACUACGUGCCAGCAGCCGCGGUAAUACGUAGGUGGCAAGCGUUGUCCGGAUUUAUUGGGCGUAAAGCGAGCGCAGGCGGUUUCUUAAGUCUGAUGUGAAAGCCCCCGGCUCAACCGGGGAGGGUCAUUGGAAACUGGGAGACUUGAGUGCAGAAGAGGAGAGUGGAAUUCCAUGUGUAGCGGUGAAAUGCGUAGAUAUAUGGAGGAACACCAGUGGCGAAGGCGGCUCUCUGGUCUGUAACUGACGCUGAGGCUCGAAAGCGUGGGGAGCAAACAGGAUUAGAUACCCUGGUAGUCCACGCCGUAAACGAUGAGUGCUAAGUGUUGGAGGGUUUCCGCCCUUCAGUGCUGCAGCUAACGCAUUAAGCACUCCGCCUGGGGAGUACGACCGCAAGGUUGAAACUCAAAGGAAUUGACGGGGGCCCGCACAAGCGGUGGAGCAUGUGGUUUAAUUCGAAGCAACGCGAAGAACCUUACCAGGUCUUGACAUCCUUUGACCACUCUAGAGAUAGAGCUUCCCCUUCGGGGGCAAAGUGACAGGUGGUGCAUGGUUGUCGUCAGCUCGUGUCGUGAGAUGUUGGGUUAAGUCCCGCAACGAGCGCAACCCUUAUUGUUAGUUGCCAUCAUUUAGUUGGGCACUCUAGCAAGACUGCCGGUGACAAACCGGAGGAAGGUGGGGAUGACGUCAAAUCAUCAUGCCCCUUAUGACCUGGGCUACACACGUGCUACAAUGGGAAGUACAACGAGUCGCGAAGUCGCGAGGCUAAGCUAAUCUCUUAAAGCUUCUCUCAGUUCGGAUUGUAGGCUGCAACUCGCCUACAUGAAGCCGGAAUCGCUAGUAAUCGCGGAUCAGCACGCCGCGGUGAAUACGUUCCCGGGCCUUGUACACACCGCCCGUCACACCACGAGAGUUUGUAACACCCGAAGUCGGUGAGGUAACCUUUUUGGAGCCAGCC
rnacentral:rRNA from 1 species